ensembl:ncRNA Y38F2AR.18 ncRNA
AAAAUCGAUUUUUGGCGAAAAAUUCAAUUUUUUCGCUGUUGAAAAUGCGCUCUAUUGAGAAAA